rnacentral:rRNA from 1 species
CCUACGGGAGGCAGCAGUGAGGAAUAUUGGUCAAUGGGCGCAAGUCUGAACCAGCCACGCAGCGUGCAGGAAGACGGCCCUAUGAGUUUUAAACUUCUUUUGUACGAGGGUAAAUCCCCAUACGUGUAUGGUUUUGUAAGUACCUUACGAAUAAGGAUCGGCUAACUCCGUGCCAGCAGCCGCGGUAAUACGGAGGAUUCGAGCGUUAUCCGGAUUUAUUGGGUUUAAAGGGUGUGUAGGCGGUUCGAUAAGUUCGAGGGGAAAUGCCGGGGCUCAACUCCUGCACUGCUGUUGAUACUGUCGGGCUAGAGUUUAUUUGCGGUAGGCUGAAG